GUAGUCCACGCCGUAAACGAUGCUCACUCGCUGUUUGCGAUACACAGCAAGCGGCCAAGCGAAAGCAUUAAGUGAGCCACCUGGGGAGUACGAUCGCAAGGUUGAAACUCAAAGGAAUUGACGGGGGCCCGCACAAGCGGAGGAACAUGUGGUUUAAUUCGAUGAUACGCGAGGAACCUUACCUGGGCUUAAAUGUAGAACGACAGAUUGUGAAAGCAGUCCUUCUUCGGACGUUUUACAAGGUGCUGCAUGGUUGUCGUCAGCUCGUGCCGUGAGGUGUCGGGUUAAGUCCCAUAACGAGCGCAACCCUUAUCGUUAGUUGCCAGCGGGUCAAGCCGGGGACUCUAGCGAGACUGCCACCGUAAGGUGUGA
rnacentral:rRNA from 1 species